ACGUAGGGUGCGAGCGUUAAUCGGAAUUACUGGGCGUAAAGCGUGCGCAGGCGGUUUCGUAAGUCUGAUGUGAAAUCCCCGGGCUCAACCUGGGAACUGCGUUGGAAACUGCGAGGCUAGAGUGUAGAAGAGGGGGGUAGAAAUCCACGUGUAGCAGUGAAAUGCGUAGAGAUGUGGAGGAAUACCGAUGGCGAAGGCAGCCCCCUGGGCUAACACUGACGCUCAUGCACGAAAGCGUGGGGAGCAAACAGGA
rnacentral:rRNA from 1 species